GCGCGCUGCCAGCACUGCGGCGCCCAGCGGGGGCUCAGAGCCCGGGUGGCUGGCCGCUGGGGGGGCAGUGCGGCCGCGUAGCUUUCAGGCCACCCCGCACGGUCCCGGCGUCGGCUCCGGCGGGACCCUCUGUGGGCAGGUCUGCGCCCUCUUCUCCGGUGUCAACCUGGUGCUGAAUCUUGAACCCGUGAAAUACCUUCUUAAUUACAUCUGAGAAAAGGAUCCUGAUUGAAUCAGUGCUUUACACUAUAACUCAGUGCUCUCCAUGAAGCUGAGAUAUGCCCACUGUUGAGAGUGAAGCAAAGGUGAAGACCAAAGUUCGCUUUGAGGAAUUGCUUAAGGCCCGCAAUGAUCUAAUACGUGAAAGAAAAAAACUGAAGAAAAAUAUUGGCAAAUCUGGAGAAAAAAUCUCACUUGAUGCAGUUAGAAGCAAUCUUCAGAAAAUCAGAGAAACUAAAAGUGAUGAUAUAAGUGCUGCUAACACUAAGAACCCAGGGAAGAACAUGCGAGUCACUAAAAACAAACCAAGAGAUCCGCAGCCAGCAACUGAAGAUCCAGAUAAUGAUGUUAAUGUGGAGGACGACAAGCAAGAAAAGGCAAACAAAAAGGUUAUAAAAACAGCACUCCAGGUGACAACACAAGAAGUGGAGCCGGAAACUCCUGAGAAGAAGGCGGAUGCAACACCCCAGAAAGCAUGGACCAAGCCACUGCCAGGUGUCACUCGUGAGAAAAGUGAGAAGGCCAAGGAAGGAGAAAAUAGUUUAGAUGAGGAAGAACUGAUGCAAGUACACCAGCUCCAAGUAGCUGAAGAAAUGGCAAAGGAGAUUAAGAAGAAAAUCCAAAAGAAACUCAAGGAGCAGUUGGCUUACUUUCCCUCAGAGACUUCCUUUCCUUCAGAUACUUCAUUGUAUGAUGACAAAUUGAAUGGUGAAAAAAGAAAAAAGAAAAAAAAGAAAGUUCCAAUCCUGUCUAAAUCUGAAACAAGUACAUUGAUCAUCUCUGAUGACCCAGUUGAAGGUGAACAAAAGAAGGAAUCUCCAGUUGGAGCAGUUACUACAGAUUCUCAUCAAGAUGAUGAAAUAAGCUCAAAGGAACAAAAUGUAGAAGACAAUGUGCAAGAUGACGCAAAAUCCAAACCGAAAAAAAAGAAGAAGAAGGCUAAAGCAGUUUCAGAUGAUAAUGAAGACACUGAUGGUGAUGGUGUUCAUGAAAUAACAAGCCGAGAUAGUCCAGUUUAUCCCAAAUGUUUGCUUGAUGAUGACCUUGUCCUGGGAGUUUACAUUCACCGAACUGAUCGACUUAAGUCAGAUUUUAUGAUUUCUCACCCGAUGGUGAAAAUUCAUGUGGUUGAUGAGAAUACUGGUCAAUAUGUCAAGAAAGAUGACAGUGAACGGCCUGUUUCAUCUUACUAUGAAAAAGAGAAUGUGGAUUAUAUUCUUCCUAUUAUGACCCAGCCAUAUGACUUUAAACAGUUAAAAUCAAGACUUCCAGAGUGGGAAGAACAAAUUAUAUUUAAUGAAAACUUUCCCUAUUUGCUUCGAGAUUUUGAUGAGAGUCCUAAAGUCAUCCUGUUCUUUGAGAUUCUUGAUUUCUUAAGCAUGGAAGAAAUUAAGAACAACUCUGAAAUUCGAAACCAAGAAUGUGGCUUCCGGAAAAUCGCCUGGGCAUUUCUCAAGCUUCUAGGAGCCAAUGGAAAUGUAAACAUCAAUUCAAAACUUCGCUUGCAGCUGUAUUACCCACCCACAAAGCCUCGAUCCCAAUCAAAUGUCAUCGAGGUUUUUGAGUGGUGGUUAAAAUGUCCAAGAAAUCCUUAUCCAUCAACGUUGUAUGUAACAGUAAGAGGAUUAAAAGUUCCAGAAAGUAUAAAGCCAUCUUACCGUUCUAUGAUGGCUCUUCAGGAAGAAAAGGGUAAACCAUUGUAUUGUGAACAACACCAUGAGGCACGUUCAGUAGACACAGAACCUGGAUUAGAAGAUUCAAAGGAAGUGAUGAAGUGGACACGACUGCCUGGGCAGGCUUGCCGUAUCCCGAACAAGCACCUCUUCUCACUAAAUGCAGGAGAGCGAGGAUGUUUUUGUCUUGCUUUCUCCCACAAUGGAAGAAUAUUAGCAGCAGCCUGUGCCAGCCGGGAUGGGUAUCCAAUUAUUUUAUAUGAAAUUCCUUCUGGACGUUUCCUGAGAGAAUUGUGUGGCCACCUCAAUAUCAUUUAUGAUCUUUGCUGGUCAAAAGAUGAUCGCUAUAUCCUUACUGCAUCAUCUGAUGGCACUGCCAGGAUAUGGAAAAAUGAAAUAAACAAUACAAAUACUUUCAGAGUUUUACCUCAUCCUUCUUUUGUUUACACGGCUAAAUUCCACCCAGCUGUAAAAGAGCUGGUGGUUACAGGAUGCUAUGAUUCUGUGAUACGUAUAUGGAAAGUUGAUAUGAGAGAGGAUCCUGCCAUAUUAAUCCGACAGUUUGAUGCUCACAAGAGUUUCAUCAACUCUCUCUGUUUUGAUAUUGAAGGUCAUCACAUGUAUUCAGGAGACUGCACAGGGGUGAUUGUUGUUUGGAAUACGUAUGUCAAAGUUAAUGAUGUGCAACACUCAGUGCGUCACUGGAGUGUAAAUAAGGAAAUUAAAGAGAGUGAGUUUAAGGGGAUUCCAAUAAGUUACUUGGAGGUUCAUCCCAAUGGAAAACGUUUGUUAAUUCAUACCAAAGACAGUACUUUGAGAAUUUUGGAUCUCCGAAUAUUAGCAGCAAGGAAAUUUGUAGGUGCAGCAAAUUAUCGAGAGAAGAUUCACAGUACUUUGACACCAUGUGGGACUUUUCUCUUUGCUGGAAGUGAGGAUGGUAUAGUAUAUGUUUGGAACCCAGAAACAGGAGAACAAGUAGCAAUGUAUUCUGACCUGCCAUUCAAGUCACCCAUUCGAGAUAUUGCUUAUCAUCCACUUGAAAAUAUGGUGGCAUUUUGUGCAUUUGGGCAGAAUGAGCCAAUUCUUCUAUAUAUUUAUGAUUUCCAUGUUGCCCAGCAGGAGGCUGAAAUGUUCAAACGCUACAAUGGAACAAUUCCAUUACCUGGAAUACACCAAAGUCAAGAUGCUUUAUGCACCUGCCCUAGACUUCCUCAUCAGGGCUCUUUUCAGAUUGAUGACUAUGUCCUCACUGAAAAUUCUUCAAUGAAGAUGCAGCAAGUGAAACAGAGGAUUGAUUCUGUCACAGAGGUGAUACGAGCCUGUGCUGCAAAGGUUAACAAAAAUCUCUCAUUUACUUCAGUAUCAGCCUCCUCACAACAGUCGAAGUCAAAACAAUCAAACAUGCUGGACGCUCAUCAGAUUCUGCGUCAAUUUGGUUUCACUCAAACUGGAUGUUUAAUUCCUGCAUAUACAGAUUCUGGGAAUGCAAGAUUCAUUCAUACAUUCAGGAUUAUCAGUAUAGAAAGAAAGCCUUGUAACCACCAUGUAGAUACAGCACCAACGGUAGUGGCCCUUUAUGACUACACAGCGAAUCGAUCAGAUGAACUAACCAUCCAUCGCGGAGACAUUAUCCGAGUGUUUUUCAAAGAUAAUGAAGACUGGUGGUAUGGCAGCAGAGGAAAGGGACAGGAAGGUUAUUUUCCAGCUAAUCAUGUGGCUAGUGAAACACUGUAUCGAGAACAGCCUCCAGAGGUAAAGGAGCGAUCCCCUCCUUUAACCCCUAAGGAAAAAGCCAAAAUGGAAAAAGCUUUUUCAGCUCCACAAAAGCAGUCAUUCAAGUCCCAGGAUUUCAGACCGGGCUCAGAGUCUAUGACACAUUCUGAGGUGGGCAGAGAACAGAGCCUUGAGGACCGCAGACACAUCAUGGAUAUGCAGGGCAAGAAGAACGAGCAAAUGGCCGGAAAGUCACCCUCAUAGAGUAAAAAGAGCUGAAGAAGAAUGAAGAGGCAAGGAACCAAAUAUACAGAAAUGAAAUGACAAAUUAAACCAAAUGGAAUUUCUCUUCAGAGUUCAGAAAUUUCAGAUGGCCAGGAAGAAAGGAAGGCUCUACUAUUUCUUAUACUUAUGAAAGAAUCUAGAAAAAUCAGUAGCAAGGAAUCGAUUCUGUGGACUCAAACUAAUACAUGGACAGUAACAUUUUAUUCAAGAAACAGUAUCCCAGUCACAUAAGAGAAAAUAAAAACAUCAAGAGUCACGUCAAUCAAAAGGCUCUGUUGAGUGGCAAACUCAGUCUGUGGAUGGACCCAAUUAUCUGCAGGCGAAUUGAAUGUCAGCAUCAUUUAGGGUUAACAAUGGACCAGCUAGGCAAAAGCAGACAGCUACUCUCUGCAGAGACCCGGAAAGCAAACUUGGUAAUGAGGUCUGGCAAACUGAAACAUCCAAUACACUUGCGACAGACAAACUAGAGUUGCUGCAAAUCCUACAGUCCCAUGAAGUGAAGCCUCGUGCAUUUCCUUUGGAAGGUCGGAGUUCCUCGGACUACAAACAAGAGAACACAAGGGAGAGUGGGAACCUUGGAUCUGGAAGUUUUCAUGAGAAGGGCAAGGUUCCAGGUGGUAAAGAAUAGGACGGGUCUUGCUCAGCAGAAACAGAGCACUAUUUACAAUAUCCAAGACAUGGAGCAACCUAAAUGUCCAUCGACAGAUGAAUGGAUAAAGAAGAUGUGGUAUAUAUACACAAUGGAAUAUUAGUCAGCCAUAAUAAAGAAUGAAAUAAUGCCAUUUGCAACAACAUGAAUGGACCUAGAGAUUAUCAUACUAAGUGAAGUAAGUCAGACAAAGACAAAUAUCAUAUGAUAUAACUUAUUUGUAGAAUCUUAAAAAAUGAUACGAAUGAAUUUACAAAACAGAAACAGACUCACAGACAUAGAAAACAAACUUAUGGUUACCAAACGGGAAAGGUGGGAGGAGGAAUAAGGAGUUUGGGAUUAACAUACACAGACUACUAUAUAUAAAAUAGAUAAUCAACAAGGACCUACUGUAUAGCACACAGAACUCUACUCAAUAUUCUGUAAUAACCUAUUUGGGAAAAGAAUCUAAAAAAGAAUGGAUAUAUGUAUAUGUAUAACUGAUUCACUUUGCUGUCCACCGGAAACUAACAACAUUGUAAAUCAACUGUACUCCAAUAUAAAACUAAAUUUUUUUGGGGGGGGGCUACGCGGGCCUCUCACUGUUGUGGCCUCUCCUGCUGCAGAGCACAGGCUUCAGACGCACAGGCUCAGCGGCCAUGGCUCACGGGCCUAGCCACCCCAUGGCAUGUGGGAUCUUCCCGAACCG